CGCGACUAAACCACAAAGAUACUCGACCAUUCUCUCUCUCUUUUCUUUUCUUCUUUUUUUUUUUAACGGGUUUCUACAGAAGUUGUAACCGAAAAGGUGUCUCUCUCUCCCUUGCAACCGUUCGGCAAUAACUGCCCCCAACCGGUCCUCAACUGCCUCCAACUGCUCCUGUCCCUGUUGGUUCUCUAUCCUGAAGCCAAGGCCAAGCCCAUAAACUGACCGUCCAUACCGUGGCCGCACCAUCUAACCGAACCACCAUAACCAUCCUUGUAACCGCCCCAACCAUCCCGGACAUGAACACUCAGCCCAGCUGAGUUGAGCUGACUGCUAGCUGGUCCUAGCUGAGUGAGCUAGUCCUUCUAGCUCCACGAGCUGAUGCAUACUGACUGCCCAAGCUCGGCCGCUCCCAUUGAGAUUCCCUGAGCUGCCCAAGCUCGGCCAUUUUCCUGUCCAGCUCCCACAUCACUCGUCCAGCUCUAUUAAACCCAUUCUUUCUUCACCCUGGUUGUCUCAACACUUUGAUGCCCUUAAAC
rnacentral:lncRNA from 1 species